rnacentral:snRNA from 1 species
GUUCUCACUUUGGCAGCACAUAUACUAAAAUUGGAACGAUACAGAGAAGAUUUACGUAGCCCCUGAGCAAGGAUGACAUGCAAGUUCCUGAAGUGUUCCAUAUUUUU